ensembl:lncRNA
GACAGUGAAGCUUAGACACAGAACUCUGAAAGAGAAUGAUGACCCCUGGGAAGAGAAUUUGGCUGCCCUUGUGCUGAUGCAGUGCUGAAUCAUGUAUAUACUGCUUAUAUGACAUCAAUACCAAAGGCGUCAAUGAACAAAGCAUCCAUUAAAAAAAAGAAAAAGU